AGGACGAACGCUGGCGGCGUGCUUAACACAUGCAAGUCGAGCGGUAAGGCCUUUCGGGGUACACGAGCGGCGAACGGGUGAGUAACACGUGGGUGAUCUGCCCUGCACUUCGGGAUAAGCCUGGGAAACUGGGUCUAAUACCGGAUAUGACCUCCUAUCGCAUGGUGGGUGGUGGAAAGAUUUAUCGGUGCAGGAUGGGCCCGCGGCCUAUCAGCUUGUUGGUGGGGUAAUGGCCUACCAAGGCGACGACGGGUAGCCGACCUGAGAGGGUGACCGGCCACACUGGGACUGAGACACGGCCCAGACUCCUACGGGAGGCAGCAGUGGGGAAUAUUGCACAAUGGGCGAAAGCCUGAUGCAGCGACGCCGCGUGAGGAUGACGGCCUUCGGGUGUAAACCUCUUUCAGCAGGACGAAGCGCAAGUGACGGUACCUGCAGAAGAAGCGACCGGCUAACUAACGUGCCAGCAGCCGC
rnacentral:rRNA from 1 species